GAAGAUGCCGUAGACGGCGUUGUUUGUGGUUUGGACGGUGACGUUGUAGAAGCCGGUGGAGCGGUUGGCGUUGGAUGAGAGGUUGGAAAGGAGGCGGUUGAGGUUGGACUGGAUGGUGGAGUUUGGGGUGAAGGUGGUGGUGUUUGGGCAGAUGUGGGAAAGGUAUACUGCUUCCGUAUUGGUCAGAAAGCUGGGCAGAGUAAAAAUGGAGAAAAUCAAAAGAAGGGUAGUCAUGCUUUUCAUUUUUUGGUGAUUCAUCGUAACAUCAUAGGUUUUUGUACUUAGUAUUAACAAGAGCAAUGCAGGGUGGCAGCAAGACUUGUCAGUUUUGAGUAUUGAUUAGAAGAGUUCCUCUCGUACAACCGGGCUUUAGUCUCAAUGCCAUCAACUUCUAAGAGCAACUCCACCCUUGGAGCCCUUCCCCCAGACAAUCCACUAUUUAAUCAACCAUGUGAACAGUAACUGCCAUAAUGAACAGUAACUGCCUUUUGCAUCUCCACCCUUGCACUUGAAUAGUCCUGGCAAUAAGCAAUAAAAUAUUUAUUAAUUUUUUUUUUACAAAAUAAUACAAAAUAAAUUUAUUUGUAAUUUCGGAUAAGAUAUUUUAAAUCGUUCUCGUUGCGCCAUGUGUCAUUUACCCAAAACGACUAUUAUUGGUCAUAGAUUUCGAUAAGAUUUUUAUCCAAUGUCAUCGUGCCACUUGUCGUUAUCUUUUCAGAAUCUUUGAGGAUAUAUUUCGAUCAGAUUUUAAAUCGUUCUCGUUGUACCACGUGUCAUUAUCCGAAAAAAUAAUUAUUGGUGAUGGAUUUGGAUAAGAUUUUUAUCCAAUGCCGUUAUGUCACGUGUCGUUAUCUUUUCAAAAUCUUUUAGGAUAGAUUUCGAUCAAAUUUUUAACGAAUGACGGCAUGCCACGUGGCAUUAUCUACAACCUAAUCAUUUCAGAAUCCUCCAUAUAAUCCAUCAUCCAUUCUUAAUCCAACAUCUUCAAGAAGCGUCCAAUUCGUACCUGCAUCUGUAGUCAUUUUGUUGAAAAAAAUUGGAUUGAAACUUUGAGAGAAAGAUAGGAAUGUGAUUGAAAGUAGUUGAGAAAAUAUGAAAUUGUGGUGUAAAGUAGAUGAUAAUGAGUAGGUAUUUAUAGAAAAGUAUAAACAUUUUUUUUAAAUUUCAGAUAUUUUUUUCGACUUUUUUACAAUUUUUUAAAUUUUUUUAUUCAAAUAAUUAAUCUCUGCCGUUGGAUUUAAAAAAAAUUGAAUUCCAACACUCUAGAUUGUGCCACGUGUCACAACGGUAACUUUUCUUAAUUUUAAAACUAUUUUUUAUUUAUUUAUAAAGCAUAUUAAUAUCGAUCGUUGAUCUCAAAUCGAACGGUUGAUAUUAAAUAAGAUUUAUUUUUAGUUUUUUUACCGUUGAGAUCCAAUGGUCCAAAUUAAAGAGCCGUUGAGAUCGAACGGACCGUGGGAUGCCACGUGGCUUCCCAACGGUAACUUUUCUGUCUGAAAAGUCGUCUGACUUUUUUGAAACUUGGUCGGGCGACGAAUGGGGGUGCACGCGCCUGACAAAAAUAAAAUAAAAAAAAGGGUUGAGCCACUCGGGCUCUCGGGCUAUCAACUCCUCACAGGCCCGGAGCUCAGGCCUCACCUCCCCUCGGGCUCCUUCAAGGCUGGAGCAAGUUCAGGGCCUCGGGCCCCUUUCCUUUCCCCUGUCCCCCGAGCAAUGUCCAUGGGUGGACUUGCUCUAAUAAGUGCUUGCAACUUGUUCAAAAGUUGCACUAUUCUUUCCAAUCCACUGAUCAAUUGUUUUGUUGUUUAUUCGUACAAAAAGCAAGGGUAAUCCGACUGAUAGAUGACUCAUACCGUUGUUGUUAAUUAAAUUAUAUUGAUUAACGUGUUAAUUUUUUUUAUUAGAAACAUAUUAUUUUGCUUGGAAAUUUAAUUUAAAAUUUUAAUAUUCCUAACAUUAUUCAAAAAGUAAUCACGGCUUCAUGUUGACAAGUUUAAAUUACUAUUUUUAUGAGUGAUAAUCUAAAUUAAUUUAAUUUAAAUUAUAAAAGGGAGAUCCAUUUAGGAUAAAAAGAGAAAACAUUAACCAAUUUGAUUAAGCCCACCUAAAUUGCCAACUUUAAUUAUUGAUUAUUACCCACGAGGAUGUUAGAAGUUCAUUAAACUUCAAGAGUACAACAUAUUGGGAUAUGUCAUUUACCGCCAUGUAAAAAAGUUAAAAACUUAAAAUAUAGGACAAUGCAUUAUUAAGUGGGACCACUACACUACUAUGUUGUUCUCCCUCAUGCACCACCAUGUGAUAAGUUAUUUCUAGAUGUUCGUACUAUAUACGUGUUUGCAGUGACUAAGUCAGAAUUUUCAAAUAAUAGGGUCUUAAUUUUAACCAAAAAAAUAACUUCAAUGGACCAUUUCGUCGAGCACCUAAUGGGUACUCGUUUAUUCUUGCCAAUAUUUGCCAAAAGCUUACGCUAACGUAUGUCGAUAAUUACUAUGAUCAGUAGAGGCUUGUCGAGCGGAGUUGUAGAAAACUAUCGAGUAAUGUUGAAGAUUGUCAAAGCUUGUCAACUGAGACAUUUCAUCGAGCACUUGGUUCACACCAUAGAGUCGCAUACAAGAAGAGAUAGAUGAUAAAAGAAAACAAAAUUAGGAGGAGGAAGUAUGAUUUAGUUUGUCAUAACUGUUUAUAAUGAUCAAAUACAAAUACAAAGUCAAAUGUACAUAAAUAUUUGGGUGAAGUGCCGAUUUAGUUCCUGAACUAUCACCUCAGUGAAAAUUAGGUCUUUAAAUUAUUUUUUCGGUAAAUAAGUCCCUAAAUUCAUUAGAAAUUGCUAAUUUCAUCCCUACUAUUAUAUUCAAAGCUAUUUUAUCCAAUUUUUUGUCAACUUAAGUCACUUGACACACUUUAGAGUGUAAUACCAUCAUUUUCUCGUCUAUAAGUGCUUAAAAUUUCAUAUUGGUUGCGAAUUUAAUGUCUAAUUUACCCUCAAAAGUUAACUUACACCAUUUCUUUAUGAAAAACUACUAAUUUCUCAUCCAAAGUUAACUUCAUACACUAUUUCUUUAUGAAAAACUACCAAUCUACCCUCCAAUGUGUAUCACAUGCAAGUAACGUGACUUAAAUUGACGAAAAUUAAAUAUAGUAGCUUCAAAUAUAACAUUAGGGAUGUAAUUGGCAGAUUUUUAUAAUUCAAGGACUAAUUUUUCUGAAAAAAUAGUUUAGAGGUUUAAUUUUCACUAAGGUAAUAAUUCAUGGACUAAAUUGACAUUUUACCCUAAAUGUUUUAAAGCUGUUGGAAUCAUAAACAACGAAUGACUUCAUAUUAAUUACGCCGUUAUAAGUUUGGACUUUAUACAUUCACCUAAGAAAACAAAAUACAUAUUAUUUGCCAAAUUCAUAUAGGUGAAAAAUAAAAAUUGCAAUGUAGGAAAAAGUAAUUGAAACUUUACAAUCUGAAAAGUCACGGCAGAUGGUCUUUUGUCAAAGAGUAUAAAGUAAAAAAACUUUAAUUUUUCGUGUGGAAAAGUAUCUCACUAGUUAUGUCACUAUCUCAGUCAAAUUCGUAGAAGAAACGUAAACGAAGGAGACGAAUAUAAAAUUUCGUAAGAAUUACGUAUAAAUUUAUUAUAAUAUACAGAUACGAUGGAGACGUAAGUGCCAAAAGGGUACCAUAUAAUAUACUAUUAAACUUGAAUUUUCAACAAUAAUAUAAUUACAUAAAAUCUGUUGAUUUGUUGCUGAUGAGACUUGUUCUGUUGAUCUUGGAUAAAUAUAAUUUAUGUUUCUUCGCUAUUAAAGAUUUGAAUCUUUGAAACAAAUAAACUUACCCGUGUAUGUUAAACAGUAUCAAUUAGCUUAAGAAAAUUUUCAUAAGGUGAGUCAAUUUUUUUCGUUAUUAAACAAAUGCGUGUUAAAAUAAUAAAAUGCCAAACUUGAAACACAUAUGUACAAGAACCGAUGACAAAUAAAAUGUAAGAAAAAGAGAUGUUUGUGAAAAAUAUUAUAUAAUUUUUUUAAUUAAACUGAGAUAAUUAAAAUUAAUGGCUAAAUAUACGAUGGAUUACCUUUGUAAAAUAAUAAAAAUUAAAUGUAAUUUUUUUUUUUCCUCGAAAGCUUAGAUUCCAACGAGAAACUUGCAUUUAACCAGAAUAUUAUGUGACGAUUGUUGUAAAAACAUGUAAAUAUAUAUUUAAUGGAUUCCAAUGAUAUAUGUCCUCAUAUCUUGCUCAACGAGCCACAACAUUAGAAAUCGUCAAGCCAUUGGCCGAGCAAUUGUGAGCACUGACUGCUACAUGAUCACGAUGAUCAAUAAAUCUCCCUGUAAAGAAGGCUGGUCGCUCAGGUUUAGAAAGACUAAUGGUUUCACUUUUCAACAUAAGAACAACUGAUGACAUGGUCGGCCUGUUGUUUGCAUCUUCUUGAACACACAAUAAUCCGAUAUGAACGUAUCUCAGGAAUUCAUUUGGACUGCAUGAGCCUUUCAACAACGGAUCCAUCAACUCCAACACUUUCCCUUCAUUCCAUAAUUUCCAAGCCUGCAAUUAUAAUUUCAUGCUAAUUAAGAUGUAGUGAUAUAUUGAUUAUAAAUUUCUAUAUACCUACAUAUAUUUGUUUGAGAUAUUUUUGUAUAAGCUAACUCUCAAGUAAAGACUUUACGUACGUAGCCUAUAAGAGUCGGUGCACCAUUUGUCGGAUGAAAACCCAAAAAGUUCUUUCUCCCCGUUGUGAUCUCAAGCAAAAGUACUCCGAAGCUAUAUACAUCAGAUUUUAUUGAAUACAAUCCCUCCAUAGCAUACUCUGGAGCCAUGUAACCACUAAAUUGCAAAAACAGCUAAGAAUUUGAAUAUGUAAGAUAAUUAACUAAAUAGAGGAAAGUAUAUAUAUAUGAGUUGAAACUUACUAGGUGCCGACAAUUCUUUUGGUGUUUCCUUGAGUUUGAUCAUCCACUCCAAACAUUCUUGCCAUACCAAAAUCUGAUAUUUUUGGAUUCAUAUUUUCAUCUAACAGGAUGUUACUCGCUUUUAGAUCACGAUGUAUAACUCUAUGCCUUGAAUCUUCAUGAAGAUAUAAAAUUCCUCGAGUGAUUCCUCCUAUUAUCAUGCAACGGCUUGACCAAUCCAGCUGUUCACGUUUCCUGGAUUCUAUAUGCUCACUUCAAUUCAUUAAAUAUAUACAAUAAUAUUGUAUCUAAGUUCGAAAUUACUAAUUUUUUUUUCAGAAUUAUGUCCUCUUACCAAAAAGAAAAUAAUCAAGACUUUUGUUUCGCACAUAUUCAUAAACAAGUAGGGUUUCCUCUCCUUCCAAACAAAAUCCCAGGAGCCUAACAAGAUUUCUGUGUUGAAGUUUGGCUACCAAUGCAACCUCGUUCUUAAAUUCUUGGACGCCUUGUCUAGAGCUUUUUGACAACCUCUUCACUGCAAUUUCUUGUUCAUUAGCAAGUGUUCCCUGACAUAUGAGGCAUUCUAUCCAAUCAAUUUCGGUUGCAUACAUCUUAUAUAUGUUGAGAAUAGUACAAGUUGAACCCGAGAUUCUAAGAAUUGAGCACUGUAUAUUAAGAAUCAAUAAUUUCAAAGACAAAAUAAGGGUAGAUAUAUGUUCCCAUUUUCAAUUUUCAUACCUUGAAAACUACACCAAAUCCGCCUUCACCUAACUUGUUAUUAUCAGAAAACUUGUUUGUGGCGGUUUCAAUGGUUCCCAAGUCGAAUUGCAAGGACUCAACAGUCUUUGUAUCAUCCUUAGCUAAGACAGAGUUUCAAAAUAUUACACGUAAACUAUUCAUGAUAAACUAAUCCAACCGAUUUCAGGAAACUAAAUUGGCAAAAGUUCCAACAUGAGAUGAGAUAGUGUGACAAUAAGCGUUGCACUUACCUUCAACUUCAAGUUGUAACCCUCGUUUCUUGACUCUCGAGUAAAUGCAUAUGCUGCUGAGAAUGGUAACAAAAGCAACCAAAACCACGACCACCACGAUGAUGAUAAUUACUUUUCUGUUACUCUUCUUUGCUUCUGGAACCGGAGGUGGAAUAUUUGCUGGCGACACUAAAAGUUCACGACACCAUAAAUUGGAAUUGUUACUGAAUUACAAUUAAUAUCUUUUUGGGGGAUAGUGUAUACCUUUAGGCCCUUCUCUGAUGGAGGCUGGCGGCGGUGGGGCGGAGGAGUAGAAGGGGUAAAUUUCAAACCUAAGAUUGCAACUGGGUUUUAGAACUCGUCCCCCAGCAUUGCUUCUAGGAGUUUGUGUUGCAGCUUCCAGAAGACACCAAUUGCAAUCUCCAGACAACAGAUCCUGCGUGCACUGCCCAAAUCCGUACAGCGUAAUGAAACCUGAAACACUCGUUUCUUUCGUCGCAAACAUGUGACUGCUAUUGGAAGUCUGAGCGGCCACCUCGGUGACCGUAGCUGCCAGUACCUUGUUGAACAGGUUUUGGUCCGUUAUACCACUUGCAUUCUGCGUGUUCCACAUGUACAAGCUAGGCGAUUCGGCCGAGGUGGAAAAGAAUGACUCGUCGGAGUAGCGUAGCAUGCAGUCGUCGUACCAGAUCACCACCUGUUUCUCUAUGGGGCAGCGUUCUGGGGCCUCGGCGGUUACGGUGGCGACACAGGUUUCGCAAGCGUCGGUGCCCACGACGUCGCCGCGGCAGAGGAAGAGGCCGUAGACGGCGUUGUUUGGGGUUUGGACGGUGGCGUUGUAGAAGCCGGUGGAGCGGUUGGAGUUGGAGGAGAGGGUGGAGAGGAGGCGGUUGACGUUGGACUGGAAGGUGGAGUUUGGGGUGAAGGUGGUGGUGUUUGAGCAGACGUGGUAGAGAUAAACUGCUUCCGUAAUGGUCAGAAAGCUGGGCAGAGUAAAAAUGGAGAAAAUCAAAAGAAGG
rnacentral:lncRNA from 1 species